GACGAACGCUGGCGGCGUGCUUAACACAUGCAAGUCGAGCGGUAAGGCCCUUUCGGGGGUACACGAGCGGCGAACGGGUGAGUAACACGUGGGUGACCUGCCCUCAGCUCUGGGAUAAGCCUGGGAAACCGGGUCUAAUACUGGAUAUGACUCCAUGACGCAUGUUGUGGGGUGGAAAGCCUUGUGCGGCUGAGGAUGGGCCCGCGGCCUAUCAGCUUGUUGGUGGGGUGAUGGCCUACCAAGGCGACGACGGGUAGCCGGCCUGAGAGGGCGACCGGCCACACUGGGACUGAGACACGGCUCAGACUCCUACGGGAGGCAGCAGUGGGGAAUCUUGCGCAAUGGGCGAAAGCCUGACGCAGCGACGCCGCGUGAGGGAUGACGGCCU
rnacentral:rRNA from 1 species